rnacentral:rRNA from 1 species
UACAGAGGUCCCAAGCGUUGUCCGGAUUCAUUGGGCGUAAAGGGUGCGUAGGUGGCGUCGUAAGUCGGGUGUGAAAUUUCGGAGCUCAACUCCGGAACUGCAUUCGAUACUGCGGUGCUUGAGGACUGGAGAGGAGACUGGAAUUUACGGUGUAGCGGUGAAAUGCGUAGAGAUCGUAAGGAAGACCAGUGGCGAAGGCGGGUCUCUGGACAGUUACUGACACUGAGGCACGAAGGCCAGGGGAGCAAACGGG